UACGUAGGGUGCGAGCGUUGUCCGGAAUUAUUGGGCGUAAAGAGCUCGUAGGCGGUUCGUCGCGUCGGCUGUGAAAACCCGGAGCUCAACUCCGGGCCUGCAGUCGAUACGGGCGGACUUGAGUGUUGCAGGGGAGACUGGAAUUCCUGGUGUAGCGGUGAAAUGCGCAGAUAUCAGGAGGAACACCGGUGGCGAAGGCGGUGGUCUGGGCCUGAACUGACGCUGAGGAGCGAAAGCCAGGGGAGCAAACGGG
rnacentral:rRNA from 1 species